AUAUCACAGCGGUAAAUCCGUUGUGAGUUGCUUAAGGUGUUCCCUUCCAUCGGUGGGCUAAAACUUUAACAUUAUAACCCACAGGGUGCGCUCUUUAU
rnacentral:ncRNA from 1 species